rnacentral:rRNA from 1 species
GACGAAUGCUGGCUACGUGCUUAACACAUGCAAGUCGAACGGUGAAAGGGAGCUUGCUCCCUGGAUCAGUGGCGAACGGGUGAGUAACACGUGGGCAACCUGCCCCUCACUCUGGGAUAACUCCGGGAAACCGGGGCUAAUACCGGAUACGACCUGGUGCGACAUCGCACCGGGUGGAAAGAACUUCGGUGAGGGAUGGGCCCGCGGCCUAUCAGCUUGUUGGUGGGGUAACGGCCCACCAAGGCGACGACGGGUAGCCGGCCUGAGAGGGCGACCGGCCACACUGGGACUGAGACACGGCCCAGACUCCUACGGGAGGCAGCAGUGGGGAAUAUUGCGCAAUGGGCGAAAGCCUGACGCAGCGACGCAGCGUGAGGGACGAAGGCCUUCGGGUUGUAAACCUCUUUCAGCGGGGACGAAGCGAAAGUGACGGUACCCGCAGAAGAAGCACCGGCUAACUACGUGCCAGCAGCCGCCGUAACAC